GAUGAACGCUGGCGGCGUGCCUAAUACAUGCAAGUCGAGCGAACAGACGAGGAGCUUGCUCCUCUGACGUUAGCGGCGGACGGGUGAGUAACACGUGGAUAACCUACCUAUAAGACUGGGAUAACUUCGGGAAACCGGAGCUAAUACCGGAUAAUAUAUUGAACCGCAUGGUUCAAUAGUGAAAGACGGUUUUGCUGUCACUUAUAGAUGGAUCCGCGCCGCAUUAGCUAGUUGGUAAGGUAACGGCUUACCAAGGCAGCGAUGCGUAGCCGACCUGAGAGGGUGAUCGGCCACACUGGAACUGAGCCACGGUCCAGCCUCCUACGGGAGGCAGCAGUAGGGAAUCCUCCGCAAUGGGCGAAAGCCUGACGGAGCAACGCCGCGUGAGUGAUGAAGGUCUUCGGAUCGUAAAACUCUGUUAUUAGGGAAGAACAAAUGUGUAAGUAACUAUGCACGUCUUGACGGUACCUAAUCAGAAAGCCACGGCUAACUACGUG
rnacentral:rRNA from 1 species